CCCGGGUUGAUCCUGCCGGAGGUCACUGCUAUUGGGAUUCGAUUAAGCCAUGCGAGUCGAGAGGGUUCGGCCCUCGGCUGACGGCUCAGUAACACGUGGAUAAUCUGCCCUUAGGUGGAGGAUACCCUCGGGAAACUGAGAAUAAUACUCCAUAGGUCUAGGAUGCUGGAAUGCACUUAGACUGAAAAUUCCGGUGCCUAAGGAUGAGUCUGCGGACUAUCAGGUUGUAGUCAGGGUAAAGACCUGACUAGCCUAUGACGGAUACGGGUUGUGAGAGCAAUAACCCGGAGAUGAUAUCUGAGACACGAUAUCAGGCCCUACGGGGCGCAGCAGGCGCGAAAACUUCACAAUGUGCGAAAGCACGAUGAGGGAAUCCCAAGUGCUUGCACGUAAGUGCAAGCUGUUUCUAUGUCUAAAACACAUAGAGAGUAAGGGCUGGGUAAGACGGGUGCCAGCCGCCGCGGUAAUACCUGCAGCUCAAGUGGUGGCCGCUAUUAUUGGGCCUAAAACGUCCGUAGCCGGUUUAAUAAAUGCCUGGGUAAAUUGUAUAGCUUAACUAUACGAAUUCCGGGUAGACUGAUAAACUUGAGACCGGGGGAAGUUAGAGGUACUCCUGGGGUAGAGGUGAAAUUCUGUAAUCCUAGGGGGACCACCGGUGGCGAAGGCGUCUGACUAAAACGGGUCUGACGGUGAGGGACGAAGCCCUGGGGCGCAAACGGGAUUAGAUACCCCGGUAGUCCAGGGUGUAAACGCUGCUUGCUUGAUGUUAGUCGGGCUUCGAGCCCGAUUAGUGUCGGAGAGAAGUUGUUAAGCAAGCUGCCUGGGAAGUACGGCCGCAAGACUGAAACUUAAAGGAAUUGGCGGGGGAGCACAGCAACGGGUGGAGCGUGCGGUUUAAUUGGAUUCAACGCCGGG
rnacentral:rRNA from 1 species